CUAAGGAGGGGCUGUGUCACCAUGGUCUGGACCCCUGUCCUCCUUGUGUUCCUUUGUCACUGCACAGGUUCCCUGUCCCAGCCUGUUGUGACUCAGCCAGCCUCCCUCUCUGCAUCUCUGGGAGCCACAGCCAGACUCACCUGCACCCUGAGCAGGGACAUCACUGUUGGAGGCUAUAACAUAUACUGGUUCCAGCAGAUGGCAGGGAGCCCUCCCCGGUAUCUUCUGUACUACUACUCAGACUCAGAUAAGCACCAGGGCCCCGGGGUCCCCAGCCGCUUCUCUGGGUCCAAAGAUGCCUCGGCCAAUGCGGGGCUUCUGCUCAUCGCUGGGCUGCAGCCUGAGGACGAGGCUGACUAUUACUGUGCUACAUAUCAUGGCAGUGUUACUCACAGUGACUCAGAUAACGAGGAAAUCCUGUUCCCUGAGGUCAUAUUCCUGACCUGCAGCUCCCUCUCCAGUGACCUCAUCCCCUCCUUUUCCAAGACCACCAUGCAGUCCAUGCUUCUGUGA